AAUAAGUGUUUUAUGGCACUUUUUAAAAUCCAUACCCACCUUGUGUGCAAUGUUGGGUCGUCCAUCAAGUAGUUUACGCUACAGCGAGGGAUGGCUUUUAACUAAACUCUUAUUCUCAUAACGAAUCUGUCUGAUAACAUAUUUUCGAAUUUACUUAAUUCAGAUAAAUACAACUUUCAACAACGGAUCUCUUGGCUCU
rnacentral:misc_RNA from 1 species